rnacentral:rRNA from 1 species
AUUGAACGCUGGCGGCAGGCCUAACACAUGCAAGUCGAACGAGUGGCGGACGGGUGAGUAAUGUCUGGGAAACUGCCCGAUGGAGGGGGAUAACUACUGGAAACGGUAGCUAAUACCGCAUACCAUCGGAUGUGCCCAGAUGGGAUUAGCUAGUAGGUGGGGUAACGGCUCACCUAGGCGACGAUCCCUAGCUGGUCUGAGAGGAUGACCAGCCACACGGGAACGUAGAAACGGUCCAGAACCCUACGGGAGGCAGCAAUGAGGAAUAGUGCACAAUGGGCGCAAACCUGAUGCAGGCAUGCCGCGUGGAGGAAGAAGGCCUUCGGGUUGUAAAGUACUUUCAGCGAGGAGGCGGUACUCGAAGAAGAAGCACCGGCUAACUCCGUGCCAGCAGCCGCGGUAAUAC